rnacentral:rRNA from 1 species
UACGGAGGGUGCAAGCGUUAUCCGGAUUUACUGGGUUUAAAGGGUGCGUAGGUGGGUAGGUAAGUCAGUGGUGAAAUCUCCGGGCUUAACUCGGAACGGCCAAGUGAAACUGUCAAACUAGAGUGCGGAAGGGGCAAUCGGAAUUCUUGGUGUAGCGGUGAAAUGCGUAGAUAUCGAGAGGAACACCUGCGGCGAAGGCGGGUUGCUGGGCUGAUACUGACGCUGAUGCGCGAAAGCCAGGGGAGCGAACGGG